AGAACAGUGGAACUCCAGAACAUCCCUCAGCAGGGUUGAUACCGGGACCUGACUCCGUAGGCUAUCCAUACUCCAACAACUCCAAUCUAAGCGAUAACUCUCACAUUGGCAUUGACAUCAUGGAUGAGCCAGGCUCCAGCAGCCCGAGUAAUGACGAGGCAGCCAUGGCUGUGAUCAUGAGCCUUCUGGAGGCAGACGCAGGGUUGGGAGGCCCAGUGGACUUCAGUGACCUGCCCUGGCCACUGUGAGGACUGUCAGGCUUAGGCAAGGCCUCCUAAAUGGGCUGAACAUGGUGAAGUAAGGGCUGGGUGUUACAGUAUUCACAUUGUGUCAGUUUGUGACCAGAGAGCCAUAUCAACAGGGAUAAUGCAACUGUAGCCUCACAGUAAGGCUGAAUGCAGGCGGGCCCUGAAAAGGAAGGAAUACUAGGCCUGGGAUCGGCCAUGAUGUACAGUCCACCUCAGUGCGGUUUGGGAAAAGUGAAACUGCCUCAUUACCCCUGUAGUAUUAUUGUACCAGUUAUCUGGGUUUUUCUAUGUCCAUUCAUCCUCACAGGCAUUGAUCCCAGCUCUUUUAUAAUGGCAUUGGGUUUUUUGUAGUGUUUUUACACUACAAAAAACAUGUCAAUAUUUCUAAAGAAAAUGUAUCAUGUUUAUUCUAAUUUUCUCAAAAUAUGUAAAAGUGUAUUGUAUCAGUAGUGAAUUAUUUUUAAAAGAAAACUUCCUCUUGCUUAUUUACAUUUUCGAAAAUACAAAACAGGGCGGUCUGUAUCAAGUUACCAUCCAGUGGCAUACAGUAUCACUGCUAAAUCAGCUGUAGGGAUUUUACAUUGUUGCUACAAUGCGGAAAUCCAAGGUACUUUGCUACAAUAUGUUGAGUGUGGGAAUAGUGAGUAAUCCGUUUGCUUGCCAACAAUAGAUGAAAUGUGACAAAAAUCAAAGACUAGUUCCUGUGCCAGAGUUGAUAGGAGACUGGUUGGUAUUGUCCACACUACUUGUGAUGUUUGCAUAUUAUGGGGGCACACCAUUUCUCAUCACCCACUCACCUUCCUGGACCACCUCACUGCCAGAGGCAUCCACCCACACACAGGAUGUGCUUUACUACUGACCCCCGAAAAAUAUUGUUGUUCCCUAGCAACAGGCAGACUAUCCAAAUGACCCAUAAAAGGAAAACGUUCCUCCUGAUCUGAAAUCAGGUCAACUCAAACCACAAUUGCAGGCUAGGUAUUGCACAUGUAUUAGGCUACUUUCAGUUUGAAAGUGUAGGUGUUCUAUGUAGAGGAAUAAGAAGGUGAAAGUAACCUCUUUCAACUCAAGUGCUAUUAAUGGAAAAUAAGCACAAUGAUAGGAAUAAAAACACUAUACAUUGUA